rnacentral:lncRNA from 1 species
CUCACUACAUAACAAUGGCUUGUGUGGGUUGAGCAGAUUUUGAAGUGGAUUAACACGUGUUUGAGUGAUGGCAGGCAUGACGGAGAGAAAGAGCUCUUCUUCAUACAUGUGCCAGAGGAGGAGGAGGAGGAGGCGCUCCAGAAGAAAGAGGGGAGGCCCGGGGGGGAGCUGACAGCCUCAUCCCUCUCUGUCCCCCUCCAUCCAUCCCGCCCCCCGUGACAGCCGCUGGUCGAGCAGAACGCCGCCUGCCAGCCAGGAGCCUCUUUCAGAUCGGCAGCCGUCUGCGCUGAAGUUCCUUUGAGGAAGAAUCCAUACUGUUUUCUCUGCAGUGCUACUCAGAAGCCCGUUGAACGCAGCACUCCGAUCUCUGUGCCCUGUGGGAGUCGGAGCAGAUCCGGGGCUAAAUUCCACUGCUGGGAUCCAGACAGAUUGCAGACCUGUUUUCUGCGGUGUGACAAAUGGCCGACUCAAUAGAGGAGAGCUCUCGGGAAGGGUGGGGCUCACAGCUGACACUGAGGUGAUGACACUAUGGUGGGCACCUUAGGCU